rnacentral:lncRNA from 1 species
AUGGCGUGAUGGGAUUUUUUCCUAGGUUUAGAAGGUGCUGAUCUUCGAGUUGGUUUUUGACCAUGAUGUGACUCAUAGGGGGAGAUUGAAGAUGUGGUUUUCAAGCCAGUUAUGAUGAGUGCACAUGCAUAGUCAAAAAGGGGGAGUUUGAAGAUGAAAUUUGCUGAGAUGUUCUAUAUCAGUUCAUGAAGUACUACAUGAAGUAGUACAGACGUGCAUCAUGAAGAUGGAGCUGAAUGGGAGUUCGGGUUUUGUGAUUGCGUCGGCUUGCUGAUCUUGGAAAAGGAAAGAUAAUAUAUGUUUGAAGACAUAUGGACGAUUUCCAUAAAGCAAAAGGGGGUUACUUGAAGAUGAAGUUUUCCAGUAA